rnacentral:rRNA from 1 species
GACAGAGGGUGCAAACGUUGUUCGGAUUUACUGGGCGUAAAGCGUGUGUAGGCGGCUUCGCAAGUUGGAUGUGAAAUCCCACGGCUCAACCGUGGACGUGCAUCCAAAACUGCGUCGCUAGAGUCUCGGAGAGGAAGGUGGAAUGCUUGGUGUAGAGGUGAAAUUCGUAGAUAUUCGGAAGAACACCAGUGGCGAAGGCGACUUACUGGACGAUUGUUGACGCUGAGGUGCGAAAGCGUGGGGAGCAAACAGG